UACGUAGGGGCAAGCGUUGUCCGGAAUCACUGGGCGUAAAGCGCAUGUAGGCGGGAUAUUAAGUCAGGUGUGAAAACUAUGGGCUCAACCUGUAGAUUGCAUCUGAAACUGAUAUUCUUGAGUAUUGGAGAGGAAAGUGGAAUUCCUAGUGUAGCGGUGAAAUGCGUAGAUAUUAGGAGGAACACCAGUGGCGAAGGCGACUUUCUGGCCAAAACUGACGCUGAGAUGCGAAAGCGUGGGGAGCAAACAGGAUUAGA
rnacentral:rRNA from 1 species